rnacentral:rRNA from 1 species
GUGCAGCAGUCGAGAAACCUCCGCAAUACACGAAAGUGUGACGGGGCCAUCCCGAGUGCCGUCCGCUGAGGACGGCUUUUCCCCAGUGUACACAGCUGGGGGAAUAAGGAGAGGGCAAGCCUGGUGUCAGCCGCCGCGGUAAUACCAGCUCUCCGAGUGGUGGGGACGCUUAUUGGGCCUAAAGCAUCCGUAGCCGGCUGGGCAAGUCCUCCGUUAAAUCCAACGAUUCAAUCGUUGGGCUGCGGGGGAUACUGUCCAGCUUGGGGGCGGGAGAGGCCGACGGUAUUCCCGGGGUAGGGUGAAAUCCUAUAAUCCCGGGAGGACCACCAGUGGCGAAGGCUGUCGGCUAGAACGCGCCCGACGGUGAGGGGAUGAAAGCUGGGGGAGCGAACCGGAUUAGAUACCCCGUGUAGU